rnacentral:rRNA from 1 species
GAUGAACGCUGGCGGCGUGCCUAAUACAUGCAAGUCGAGCGAACGGACGAGAAGCUUGCUUCUCUGAUGUUAGCGGCGGACGGGUGAGUAACACGUGGAUAACCUACCUAUAAGACUGGGAUAACUUCGGGAAACCGGAGCUAAUACCGGAUAAUAUUUUGAACCGCAUGGUUCAAAAGUGAAAGACGGUCUUGCUGUCACUUAUAGAUGGAUCCGCGCUGGAUUAGCUAGUUGGUAAGGUAACGGCUUACCAAGGCAACGAUGCAUAGACGACCUGACAGGGUGGUAGGCCACACUGGAACUGAGACACGGUCAAGACUCCUACGAGAGGGAGCAGUCGGGAAUCUUCCGCAGUGGGGGGAAGCCUGACGGAGCAACGCGGCGUGUGUGAUGGAGGUCUUCGGAUCGUAAAACUGUGUUAUUGGGGAAGAACCUCUGUGUAAGGAGCUGUGCACAGCUUGACGGUACCUAAUCAGAAAGCCACGGCUAACUACGUG